GAAAGGCCCAAAGAAAGAAAAACUGGAGCAAUACAAAUAGUACCGCAAGGGAAAAAUGAAAAAUAUGAAACAUAUUAAAGCACAAAAAAGCAAAGAUUAACCCUUGUACCUUCUGCAUCAUGAUUUAGCUAGUACUCAUAGGCAAAAAGAAUUAAAGUCUUACCCCCCGAAACUAAGUGAGCUACUUAAGGGCAGCCUACAUUACGCAAAGCUACAUUCAUCUCUGUGGCAAAAGAGUGAAAAGACCCUUAAGUAGAGGUGAAAAGCUUAACGAACUUAGUGAUAGCUGGUUACUUAGUAAAAGAGUAUAAGCUCUACCCUAAAUUUUCUAAAAGUGACAAAAAACAUUACACGAAAAAUUUAGGAGCUAUUCAAUUAGGGUACAGCCAAAUUGAAACAGGACACAACCUUAAAUGAAGGACAAACUAAUUUUAUUUAUUCCGUAGGCCUUAAAGCAGCCACCAACAAAGACAGCGUCAAGCUCCCAUACCAAUAUAACAUCAUCUUCCUCAACACUUUAGUUAGCUCCACAUAUGGAGGAACCAUGCUAAAUGAGUACAGAGGCAACUUCUCUUCCCGCAAGCUUAAUCAGAUCAGAUACUUUUCUGAUUAUUACAGGAAAUAUAAAACCAACAAAACUAAACAAAACAUAUAACAUUUACUGUCAACCCAACACAGGCGCGUAAACCAGAAAGAUUAAAAUCAGUGAAAGGAACUAGGCAAACCAGGGACCCGACUGUUACCAAAAACAUAGCCCUUAGCAUAUACCAGUAUUAAGGGUGAUGCCUGCCCAGUGACACUGUUCAACGGCCGCGGUAUCCUAACCGUGCAAAGGUAGCGGAAUCACUUGUCUUUUAAAUAAAGACCAGUAUGAAAGGCUAAACGAGGCCCCAACUGUCUCUCACAGAUAAUCAGUGAAAUUGAUCUCCUCGUGAAAAAGCGAGAAUACAAAUAUAAGACGAGAAGACCCUGUGGAACUUAAAAUAAUGACCAAUCAGCAAAACCACUUACACCUAAGGGCAUAAACACAAACUGCGCUUGGUACACAUUUUCGGUUGGGGCCCUCUCGGAGUAAAAUAAAACCUCCGAAAAAGAAUAUAACCCUAUUAUACCUAGACAAACAACCCAAAGUGCUUACAGCAAAAUGAUCCAAUAUAUUUGAUCAACGAACCAAGCUACCCCAGGGAUAACAGCGCAAUCCCACUACAGAGUCCUUAUCAACAGUGGAGUUAACGACCUCGAUGUUGGAUCAGGACAUCCUAAUGGUGCAGCAGCUAUUAAGGGUUCGUUUGUUCAACGAUUAACAGUCCUACGUGAUCUGAGUUCAGACCGGAGAAAUCCAGGUCGGUUUCUAUCUAUACUUAAAUCUUUUCCAGUACGAAAGGACCGAAAAGAUGAGGCCAACUUUUAUAUACGAGGA
rnacentral:rRNA from 1 species